rnacentral:rRNA from 1 species
GUGUCAGCAGCCGCGGUAAUACGUAGGUGGCAAGCGUUGUCCGGAAUUACUGGGCGUAAAGAGCGCGUAGGCGGGAAUUUAAGUCAGGAGUGAAAACUGGCGGCUCAACCGCCAGCCUGCUCUUGAAACUGGAUUUCUUGAGGGUAUGAGAGGAAAGCGGAAUUCCCAGUGUAGCGGUGAAAUGCGUAGAUAUUGGGAGGAACACCAGUGGCGAAGGCGGCUUUCUGGCAUACAACUGACGCUGAGGCGCGAAAGCGUGGGGAGCAAACGGGAUUAGAUACCCCGGUAGUCCACGCCGUAAACGAUGGAUACUAGGUGUAGGAGGUAUCGACCCCUUCUGUGCCGUAGUUAACACAAUAAGUAUCCCGCCUGGGGAGUACGGCCGCAAGGUUGAA